GCGCAGCAGGCGAGAAACUUCACACUGUGCGAAAGCACGAUGAGGGAAUCCCAAGUGCUUGCACGUAAGUGUAAGCUGUUUCUCUGUCUAAAACGCAGAGAGAGUAAGGGCUGGGUAAGACGGGUGCCAGCCGCCGCGGUAAUACCUGCAGCUCAAGUGGUGACCGUUAUUAUUGGGCCUAAAACGUCCGUAGCCGGUUUAAUAAAUGCCUGGGUAAAUUGUGUAGCUUAACUAUACGAAUUCCGGGUAGACUGUUAAACUUGAGACCGGGAGAAGUUAGAGGUACUCCUGGGGUAGAGGUGAAAUUCUGUAAUCCUAGGGGGACCACCAGUGGCGAAGGCGUCUAACUAGAACGGGUCUGACGGUGAGGGACGAAGCCCCGGGGCGCAGACGGGAUUAGAUA
rnacentral:rRNA from 1 species